rnacentral:lncRNA from 1 species
UCUGAACUCGAAAGGAAGCAAUCUGGGACCUGCAGCUACUGGAACAUUCAUUGUUGUAUUUGCACCCUCACCCACUAUUUCCUGACUUUUCAUGUCUGCAGAAAAGCUGGAUCUCUUCUCUUGCUUAAGUCUUUCUCUGAAACAUGAGGGUGAACCCCAAGUAUCCUCAACGACACCCUCCUUGUCAGUGCCAUUAUAAUCCAUUGCCUGACUUUGAUACCACUAGCCACGCCUUUACCCCUAACAUCCCUUUCUUUAAUUUUGUAGCCAUUGACGUCGAUGAUUCUUUCUGCUGAUCAGUUAGUUGUUUGCG